rnacentral:rRNA from 1 species
AUACGGAGGGUGCAAGCGUUACUCGGAAUCACUGGGCGUAAAGCGCAUGCAGGCGGUCUAAUAAGUUGGAAGUGAAAGCCUAUGGCUCAACCAUAGAACUGCUCCAAAACUGUUAGACUAGAGUCUGGGAGGGGAAGAUGGAAUUAGUAGUGUAGGGGUAAAAUCCGUAGAGAUUACUAGGAAUACCAAGAGCGAAGGCGAUCUUCUGGAACAGUACUGACGCUGAGAUGCGAAAGCGUGGGGAGCAAACAGGAUUAGAAACCCUAGUAGUCC